UGGGGAAUUUUGGACAAUGGGCGCAAGCCUGAUCCAGCCAUGCCGCGUGCGGGAAGAAGGCCUUCGGGUUGUAAACCGCUUUUGUCGGGAAGAAAUCUUCUGAGUUAAUACCUCGGGAGGAUGACGGUACCUGAAGAAUAAGCACCGGCUAACUACGUGCCAGCAGCCGCGGUAAUACGUAGGGUGCAAGCGUUAAUCGGAAUUACUGGGCGUAAAGCGUGCGCAGGCGGUUUUGUAAGACAGAGGUGAAAUCCCCGGGCUCAACCUGGGAACUGCCUUGUGCACUGCAAGGCUUGAGUGCGGCAGAGGGGGAUGGAAUUCCGCGUGUAGCAGUGAAAUGCGUAGAUAUGCGGAGGAACACCGAUGGCGAAGG
rnacentral:rRNA from 1 species